rnacentral:rRNA from 1 species
ACACAUGCAGUCGAGCGGCAGCGGAAGUAGCUUGCUACUUUGCCGGCGAGCGGCGGACGGGUGAGUAAUGUCUGGGGAUCUGCCUGAUGGAGGGGGAUAACUACUGGAAACGGUAGCUAAUACCGCAUGACCUCGAAAGAGCAAAGUGGGGGACCUUCGGGCCUCACGCCAUCGGAUGAACCCAGAUGGGAUUAGCUAGUAGGUGGGGUAAUGGCUCACCUAGGCGACGAUCUCUAGCUGGUCUGAGAGGAUGACCAGCCACACUGGAACUGAGACACGGUCCAGACUCCUACGGGAGGCAGCAGUGGGGAAUAUUGCACAAUGGGCGCAAGCCUGAUGCAGCCAUGCCGCGUGUGUGAAGAACGCCUUCGGGUUGUAAAGCACUUUCAGCGAGGAGGAGGCAUUGUGGUUAAUAACCGCAGUGAUUGACGUUACUCGCAGAAGAAGCACCGGCUAACUCCGUGCCAGCAGCCGCGGUAAUACGGGGGUGCAAGCGUUAAUCGGAAUUACUGGGCGUAAAGCGCACGCAGCGGUUUGUUAAGUCAGAUGUGAAAUCCCCGCGCUUAACGUGGGAACUGCAUUUGAAACUGGCAAGCUAGAGUCUUGUAGAGGGGGGUAGAAUUCCAGUGUAGCG